AGCCAACUUUAAAGGAAAGUUUUUCUGCAUGUUAUUCUAACCAAGUAAUUAUGCACUAAACAAGUGGAUUGACAAAGAAUAGCAACAAAUUUAUUGUCCCAAAAAAAAAACUAUAAUCAUGCACUGAAAAACAACCUUUUGUCAACAAAAGAAUGGCAUAAAUUUCCAUUGAUAAAGUGUAAGAUAACAGAUAGUCAGUAUCUAACUUGUUUUGUGUUUUUUUUAAAGAGAUGCAAAAUGUUAUUCUCAACGAGCUUGUAGAAAUAAAAGUUCUUUUAAAAAAAGUUAUAGAAAUUAAGUUUUAGGCUACUGGGGUGAAGUUGCUAGAAUCAGUGGACGAAGUGGUUACACUGGAUAAUAAACUAAAAGAUAAAACCGAGUAUACUAAUUUGCUUGAUAGUUUGAAAAAGAUUGGUGGUGGAAAGCCUAGAGAACAUGUUUUUUUGAUCAUGAAAAGGUUAUUUUCGAAUCAGUUACAGUCCAAAUUUAAUCGAAAAGGAAAUGGGGAAAAGAUAAGCUUAGAAAAUAUAGUAAAUAUAUAAAGUGUUUUACGAGAUAUCGGCGACGUGGAAGAAAAUGUUGACGGCAAUGCAGAAAUAUAGUUUCUUAUGUAUAUUUUUGUGAAAUAAAAAUUAAUUAAUGUUA